rnacentral:rRNA from 1 species
AGGACGAACGCUGGCGGCGUGCCUAACACAUGCAAGUGGAGCGACGAACCAGGCUUCGGCCUGGGGCAGAGCCGCGAACGGGUGAGUAACACGUGGGUAACCUGCCCUGAUGAUUGGGACAACCCGAGGAAACUCGGGCUAAUACCAAAUGUGCCCUCCGGCCUCAAGGCCUGUGGGGAAAGGAAGCUUCGGCCUCCGCAUCGGGAUGGGCCCGCGGCCCAUUAGCUUGUUGGUGAGGUAAUGGCUCACCAAGGCUACGAUGGGUAGCUGGUCUGAGAGGACGAUCAGCCACACUGGGACUGAGACACGGCCCAGACUCCUACGGGAGGCAGCAGUGGGGAAUCUUGCGCAAUGCGCGAAAGCGUGACGCAGCAACGCCGCGUGGGGGAAGAAGGCCUUCGGGUUGUAAACCCCUUUCAGUUGGGACGAAGCUUCGCCGGUGAACAGCCGGCUGGAGUGACGGUACCUUCAGAAGAAGCCCGGCUAACUACGUGCCAGCAGCCG